GGUGGCGGCGCGGCGACGUCGACUUCCGCCCGGCCUUGAAGCUAGCGUGCGCAGCUGCUUCGGAUAUGCUUUGGUGUUCUUGGAAACCAAUCACAACAGAAGUCAGACCUUCUUUAUACAGUUAGCUACAAUAAACUUGGACCUGAGCCAUCCACCCAG